AACAAACAAUCAAAGAAAAAGAGCCUACCAAGGGUUAUGUAGUUGAUCCGGAUGAGUUACCAUGGUGUUGCAUAUGUAAUGAGGAUGCGGUACUUCGCUGUCUAGGAUGCGAAGGUGACUUGUAUUGCAAGAGAUGCUUUAAGGAAGGCCAUGAUGAUUUUGGAGAAACUCACGAGACUGAGCAAUACAAGAAACCAAAAAACAGGGACAAGUGAUGGAGAAUAUUCAGGCAAUUUAAAGCAGUGCUUCUUUCCUUGUUCAGUGCUAAAACCAAAUGAUUAUUUUGCAUAUUUCUUUUACUCACUGGGCGAGACUUUUCUUUAUAUUUUUUUCGCAAACUUUUUUUUUAAAUAUUGUCAGAGGGGUGGGGGGGCGGAAAAUCGAAAUCGAUAUCAUCAUUAUUAGCAAGCGGGGUGUUCGCUAAACAAUGUAUAAAAAAAAUUCUUGCCCAAACAACUAUAUAAUGUUGAAAUUGAUUCAUUUUUUUAUAAGAUAGUGUUCAAUUUAUAAAAAUAAAUGUGAUUAUAGAGAAAAAAAAAUAUACGAAGUCAAAAUAUUUAUAAUUGUUAUAUUUAGUAUUUUUAGAUAUUUAUAUAUUUUAAUGAUCAAGGUUUUAAAAUAGUGAAAUUGAAAGACAUUACUCCUGGACUGGGGGUCGCCACAACAACAAAUCUUGUUUAAUGCAUUGUUUUUUCAAAGUAUAAAUUGUGUGUAUAUGGUUAAGCCAUGAAUGCCAUCGAUUAUACAAGUGCGAUGUAUUAGUUACACUAUUAUUUACAUGGUAACAACACAUAGGGACAUAAAUCUGGCAAUAUAUAGCAACAAAUCUUUUGUUAUAGUUACACUCAGAAUUCAGAAAAUAUGAAGAGUACAUUGCUUUUUCCUUUUUAUAGAGAUUAAAAAGAAGUCUAGCUUCAAAAGGCUGACGAAUUUUUAUUCUCCAUCGACAA